AGAAAUUAGUUGUAUUAGCUUAAAUAUUCAUAAUAAAACCAAGAAACCUUUGAAACAAGUUGUCAAAAGAUAUAGUAGCAACAAUUCAGAGUUAAAACUAUUAUUUUUUCAAAAUGUUGCUGUACAACUUCAGGGGAAAAAAUAAUGUGCUGCAAAAUCUUAGGUAUAUGCAUAAUUUUUUAAAAUACUCUUAGUUCUUGCCUGAUUAUAAUUAUUCAUGUACAUGGGAAAUUGUAAGGUGAUGAAUGUCAAUAUGUACAGUAAAAAUAACUUUUAUCUACAUGCAUAUGGCAAGGAAGGACUGUUGUUAAUCUUUUUGUAACAGCUUAAAUGAUCAUAAUUCUUGCUUUUGUUGAUAGCUUUUUCCUGCUUAACUGUUGAAAACAUUUUUGUACGGUAUGGUGGCCUUUCUCCAGGUUUACAGAAUAUUGUUUUCUUGUUUCAAGAGGGCAAAUUUACAUUAACUUUCAUAUAUAGUAAUUGACAUUUAUAGUGCAUGUGGGAUUGAUUACUUUACCACAUGAGAAAGCUGCAGCCUUAAAAUAUACAGAAUAUGAGACAAUAUCAUCAUGUUCCAACACAUUAUUUCCUCUGUACUAUUAAAAGGUCCACUGCUGGUCAGUUUCAAUAUUCUUGAUACCUGAAGUUUUUACUGUGAGAACAUACAUUAUGUCUUAAUGCACAGUCAUUUCUGAAUAUCCAUCAACAUUGUAUGUAUUGCUGUGUUGUUGUUUCACCUGUGUGUCACUGUGAAAUUUUGCCUGAAACUCUAGCAAAGACAUUGACAGUAAAGGUAUUAUGAAAAAUGAUUUUUAAAGGUUUGCAAUUUUGGUCUGAACAAGUAUAUAACAUUUAUGACAAAUUCUGAGCUGCUUUCCCAACCAAAAUUAUGUUUGAAAUUAGCCAGAUUAUUUUUCUGGGAAAAAAAGAACAAUUGAAUUGGGGUUUUGUGCAAUAUUUUGGCUCUUAGCAUUACACAAACUUUUGUUAUUUCCAGAAGCAUGAAAGUAAAGCUGUGUAGCAUACAUCAAAAAUUGUAAAAUCAACACAAGAAUACUUUUUUUUUUUUAAUUUUUAAUGUGAGAACCUCCACUAACAUUACCUUAAAAGUUUUCAUUUCCUUUAUUAUAAAAAAUUAUGGCAAUUCAGCUCACAACUUUUAGGUCAAAACUAUACUUUAAAUUCUGUUACAGUUUGAGGACAAAACCUAAAACAAACUCUAGCUGUGAUUCUCAGGAGGAACAUUCUUUAAGUAGCGAAGGGAGCACCAACCUCAAUGAAGCAUAAGAUUUCCCCCAUCUGUUCUCUGACUGUAUAUGCAUUUCCCUUGUGAAUGUGUGUGCGUGUGUCAAAUCUCCUUCCACCCCCAAAAUUCUGACAAUAAAAUUGAAGUAGCCUUCAUCUUAACAACAGCUUCUAGCAAUAACCAGUUUUAUUUGUUCUUUAAAAAUUGAAAGGAGUCAGAUAACAAAAUUAUAGAAAAUAGUUAACUGAAGUUUCACAUUGUCAUGUUCGAAACACAAAUAUUUGAAAUGUGAUGACAGAGAAGGUCACAGCCACACUAUUAAAUACGGCACCAUCGCAGGUGGAGUGAGAAAGACACUUGCUGCAGGAUGCCCUCUAAGUGGGUGCAGCAUAGAAGGAGGUGUCUUCAGGCCCUAUCAGAUACUGCUCUUGUCCUUCCUGCUGGCUGGGAGAAGUUGGACACCCACAGUGUUUGCAUACCUGGUGGACAGAAAGUGCUGGAAGAGUCCACAUAGGAAAAGGGUACUAAAAUAUCUCAGCAUUGCCAAUAUGCCAUUCAUCCUUACUUAAGACAGCUGUAAAACUGACUGAUGGGCUGCCUGAAUAAUAUUUCUGUACAAUUGUUUGUUCUUUAUUUGUCAUAGACUUUAUUAAAUCCUAAAGCUUUAAUCUUGGACAUGAUUUUUCUUCCAUUAACCUCAAAAAUAUCUCAGAAAGAUUAGUAAACAUUAUUAUCUUUUAUACAAAAAAACCCCCGCAUACCAAGUUUAAGGAUGUACAGGUUCUGUUCAGGGCGAGAGAGAGAGAGGUGAGGAAGUUGCUUUUUGCAGUUACCAGAAAGCUGUUACUCCCCACCUGCAGGUGACCAUUAGCAUGGGAAGCAAAGGAUCACUUAGUCUUUUUUCUGAGUUAACUUUAAAUCUAUCUUGGAACAAAGAAACACACUACACUACGUAAUUAAAUGAAUGCUAAGUCACUGAAAACAUAUGUUACAAAGGUGCUAGACAUGACUGCAAAAAAAGCUUCAUCUGAGUUAUAUUUCUGUGUUCAGAUUCUUCUUCCAAAGAGUUAAUGAAGCUACACAGCUCCUCUAACCCUGCUGAGAGUCAUUGAUCUGAUCUGGCUAGCCUGCAGGUUCACACAAAGGAGAUAGCAGGACAACAGUUGCUUUAUUAACAGCAGAGGACGGUUGGUUGCAGAAGAAAGGUGGAAGGUAGGAAUUUGAACUAUUUUCUACAAGAAAAACUUUGCCAGAUUAUUUUCAACUGAUUCUAGCAAACCCCAGGGACACUGACUUAGGUGAGACAACUCAUGUGCAAUUCAGUAUGUUGUUCCAAGAAUGUAGCGUCAAUCCCCUGCUGGACACAGCCAAGUGGGUGAACAGUGAAGUCAUUAAAAAGGGAAAGAGCUUUGGAUAAUAAUUAAAAAAAGGCUCAGGUGAGUUCAAAAGAGUUGUAUCCUUCGUUGGUGUAGAUUUUCACACCAUGGCACACAGAGACUUCCUAGGAUGAGCAGCUGAAGAAUAACGUCUUAGUGAAGAAUAAAACCUUAGUGGCAACAUCUAUCGUACUAUGUGAGCUGAGAAUAGCAGCUUCUGAAACCAUUAAAAAAUAGCUGCAUGCCAGGACACUUUGGUAGAAGAAAUGCUAUGAUAAGACUCUGCCCCCGCCAUGGCUUCCCCUCAUCCUGCCCAUGGUCCAGGGCUCUAUGUCUGCCCCAGGGAACAUCAGCCCCUGCCCGAGCAAUGUUGUUUCAUUAUGCAAGAUAUUCAAGAAAUGUACCCAUCCUGCCUUCAGCUAAUAAACAUACCUAUUUGAGUGUUUAACAAGCACACCAGGCAAAAAAAUACUAGCUUAUUAAUUUUGCAACAAUUGAUAGAGAUAUUUAUGAAGUAGACAAAUUAUUGGUUUUUUUUAUCUUUAAUAUGCAUGUCCUGUCUUAAAGUUAGAUAAAAUUACUGCAUGUCAUAUAGCUCAACCUGCUACUCAAAGCAGGGUUAGAUGAAAAUUGGAUCCAUCUGUGCUGGACCUUGUCUAGCUGAGUUUUGAAAGUCUCUAAGGUUGGAGAUUUCACAAUCUUUUUGAUGAUCUUAUUUCAGUGUUUAACCCUCUCAUUGUAAGAUUUCUUUUUUUAAAGUAGUGCAGUUUCAAAAUGUGAUGAUUUCAAAAGGUAAUGAAAAAGAAAACUGGAAAAAAAAGGGGGGAAAAAUUAUUAAUUAAAACAAGUAUUUCAAUUAUACAUUUUCUCACUUCAUCUUUGAAUGAAAGGAAAACCAAACAAACAUGAGAAUAAUAAACAAACCAAAUGCCCAAAUUAAAUGUUCUGGAUCAUUCUAGCAGGCAUUUUAUUUGGUUGCAAAAAAAAGUUUAUGUUUUUUUGCUAUAAGAAAAAAAAUAUGUAGCAAAAAUUAAAAAUCAGUUAUUCAUGCAAUCAUCUAGACUAUUUUGAUUCUACUUGUAUAUUACUCAAAGAAAAACUGUGUUGCCUUCUAUGUCCAAGAGUGUAUAUGUUCUGGGUUGAUUAAGAAUAUAUUCUUUAAGAAUAUAUACUUUAACUUUGUAGUUCAGACUUAAAGAAUUGCUUAGUAGUCAGCAGAAGCAGGAUCAUUUUGUCAUAUUCACUUUACAGUUGUAAGAAACAGUAUUAGUAAAUCAGAGAAUUGGAAGACUUGCAAAUAAGUGACAAGAAAACUGCAGACAAUGUUCAAUAAGGGAAGGACUGCACGUGUUGAAAGACUAACAAUGCAAAAUGAUCUUGACAAACUGGAAAAAAUAGUCUUGAAAGACUAUGAUAUUUAACAAAGUAAAAUGGAAGAAUCACUUCAACAAUCUACUUCAGUAGUACAGAAUGGAGAAUUGAAAAGCUGUCAGAAGUGAAAUAUUUUGGGAUUAUAAUGGCCAGUGCAAAGAAUUUUAACAGUGGUAUUGUGCUCCAGAGCUACAGGUGAACAGCCUGUAGCAUAUGAAGAGGGUCAUAGUCUACAUAACAUAAAAUCUUCCCUCCUCUUCAAAACUCAGUUGAAGUGGUGUGCAAGUUUGAAGUCUGCUCUUCAUGAAAGAUAUGGAGUAGUUGCUGAGUGGAAAAAAGAGAAUUCUGAGACAAGACAUGGAUCUCUUCAGAAAGGCUACUGAGAGAGGAAGUGAGCAAGCUGUUUUCCCCCUCAGAACUUAGACUUAGAACACACUUUAAUUACAAUACCUUUUAGGUUAGGCCUAGCAAAAAAAUAUUACCUAAAAUCUUACCUUCCUAGAAAGUGAUGCUAUUAUGGCAAGUUUUACCAGAUGGCUUAUUAGAAUCUCUAAUAUCUCUUCAUCAUUAUAAACGGCAUUUCAUUAUUUUAAUUUCUGAAAUAAAAUCUGUUUUCAGAGUCUGCUAAUUUGUGUCAAGAUACCAUUUCACUCUUAAGUG